rnacentral:rRNA from 1 species
GCACAAGCGGAGGAACAUGUGGUUUAAUUCGAUGAUACGCGAGGAACCUUACCUUGGGCUUAAAUGGGGAGUGACAGCUGUCGAAAGAUGGUUUUCUUCGGACACUCUUCAAGGUGCUGCAUGGUUGUCGUCAGCUCGUGCCGUGAGGUGUCGGGUUAAGUCCCAUAACGAGCGCAACCCUUACCGUUAGUUACCAUCAGGUUAAGCUGGGGACUCUAGCGGGACUGCCACCGUAAGGUGAGAGGAAGGUGGGGAUGACGUCAAAUCAGCACGGCCCUUAUGUCCAGGGCUACACACGUGUUACAAUGGCCAGUACAAAGGGCAGCUACCGGGUGACCGGAUGCUAAUCUCUAAAGCUGGUCUCAGUUCGGAUCGAAGUCUGCAACCCGACUUCGUGAAGCUGGAUUCGCUAGUAAUCGCGCAUCAGCCAUGGCGCGGUGAAUACGUUCCCGGGCCUU